CGUGGGUAGGUAAAUCCGUCUGCGUGUUGAUCUGAGACCUGAUGCAUAGCCGAUUGAGGCGAAGUAGCGUGAUCCUACGCUGUCGAGAAAAGCCUCUAGCGAGCUCCGAGCGGCCCGUACCCCAAACCGACACAGGUGGUCAGGUAGAGAAUACCGAGGUGAUCGAGCGAACUAUGGUUAAGGAACUCGGCAAAAUACCCCCGUAACUUCGGGAGAAGGGGGACCGAGGUGUGUGAAGCCCCUUGCGGGCUAGCACGUUUUGGUCGCAGAGACCAGGGAGAAGCGACUGUUUACUAAAAACACAGGUCCAUGCGAAGUCGUAAGACGAGGUAUAUGGACUGACGCCUGCCCGGUGCUGGAAGGUUAAGAGGACCGGUUAGUCCGUAAGGGCGAAGCUGAGAAUUUAAGCCCCAGUAAACGGCGGUGGUAACUAUAACCAUCCUAAGGUAGCGAAAUUCCUUGUCGGGUAAGUUCCGACCUGCACGAAUGGCGUAACGACUUCUCUACUGUCUCAACCAUAGGCUCGGCGAAAUUGCAUUACGAGUAAAGAUGCUCGUUACGCGCGGCAGGACGGAAAGACCCCGGGACCUUUACUAUAGCUUGGUAUUGGUGUUCGGUUCGGCUUGUGUAGGAUAGGUGGGAGACUGUGAAGUGGCCACGCCAGUGGUUGUGGAGUCGUCGUUGAAAUACCACUCUGGUCGUACUGGAUGUCUAACUUCGGACCGUGAUCCGGUUCAGGGACAGUGCCUGGUGGGUAGUUUAACUGGGGCGGUUGCCUCCUAAAGAGUAACGGAGGCGCCCAAAGGUUCCCUCAGCCUGGUUGGCAAUCAGGUGUUGAGUGUAAGUGCACAAGGGAGCUUGACUGUGAGACAGGCGUGUCGAGCAGGGACGUAAGUCGGGACUAGUGAUCCGGCACCUCCGAGUGGAAGGGGUGUCGCUCAACGGAUAAAAGGUACCCCGGGGAUAACAGGCUGAUCUUGCCCAAGAGUCCAUAUCGACGGCAUGGUUUGGCACCUCGAUGUCGGCUCGUCGCAUCCUGGGGCUGGAGUAGGUCCCAAGGGUUGGGCUGUUCGCCCAUUAAAGCGGCACGCGAGCUGGGUUUAGAACGUCGUGAGACAGUUCGGUCCCUAUCCGCCGCGCGCGUAGGAGUCUUGCGGAAGGCUGUCCCUAGUACGAGAGGACCGGGACGGACGAACCUCUGGUGUGCCAGUUGUUCCGCCAGGAGCAUGGCUGGUUGGCUACGUUCGGAAGGGAUAACCGCUGAAAGCAUCUAAGCGGGAAGCCUGUUCCUAGAUGAGGGCUCCCACCCCUAGUGGGUUAAGGCCCCCGGUUAGACCACCGGGUUGAUAGGCCGGAAGUGGAAGCAUCGUAAGGUGUGGAGCUGACCGGUACUAAUAGGCCGAGGACUU
rnacentral:rRNA from 1 species